rnacentral:lncRNA from 1 species
GUAAAAAUAUAUUAGAUCCCAGAGAGAGAAUAUACAUCAAUAGGAGGGGCAUUCCCCAACAAUAAUAGACACCACAAGAACAAGAAAAUCAGUGGUACAAAAGAGGAGACCAAAACAGGUAGGUCUCAAAACUCGAUAGCAAUGCUAGGGAAAAUUUUAUAUAAAAUCCGAUAAACCAUAAUCUGGAUCUUAACAAAAAUGUCUCUCGUGGAGAAUUUUUUACCUUCAAAGUACAUCUCAUUCCGAC